rnacentral:rRNA from 1 species
GUCGCGCGAGAAUUCCCUUCGGGGAAUGGACAGCGGCGAAAGGGAGAGUAAUACGUAGAAAUCUACCCUCGGGUCUGGGAUAGCGUCGGGAAACUGGCGGUAAUACCGGAUAACGUCUUCGGACCAAAGGUGUGACUCCACCUGAGGAUGAGUCUACGACCUAUUAGCUAGUUGGCGGGGUAAUGGCCCACCAAGGCAAUGAUGGGUACCGGGUGUGAGAGCAUGACCCGGCUCACUGGGACUGAGACACUGCCCAGACACCUACGGGUGGCUGCAGUCGAGAAUCUUUGUCAAUGGACGAAAGUCUGAACAAGCGACGCCGCGUGCGGGAUGAAGGCCCUCGGGUUGUAAACCGCUGUCGUAGGGGAACAAAUUCUUAGGGGUACUCCCCUUUGAUUGAGUGAUCCUAGGAGGAAGGACGGGCUAAGUUCGUG